rnacentral:rRNA from 1 species
UGUGCCAGCAGCCGCGGUAAUACCAGCUGAGCUAAGAAUGGGUAACGUUGUUGCAGUAGAAACGUACGUAGUCACUAUCAUUUAAGUGCUGAUCAUUCAUUGAAAAGCAUAAUGAUAAUAGAACCUUGAAUAAUUAAGGUUAACACCGCGAGUAAAUUAGAACGAUAAAUUUGAAAUUGUAUAGAAUAGCGUGGGAAAUCUGAUGACACCAGUUGGAGUUCAAGGAAACCGUCGACUUAGGUAUAGACCUCAAGAAUAGAUGAGGGUGCUAGUAUUUAAUAAUUAGAGGUGAAAUUCUUAGAUCUAUUAACGACUUACAAGUGCGCAAGCAUUCAUCUAAUCUAUUUCUGGUGAUCAAGUACUAAAGAGCGGGGUUCGAAGAGGAUUAGAUACCCUCGUAGUCCGCUCCCUAAACUAUGCCAACUAGUGGCUGGCGCUUGUUUUUGAACUGUGUUAGAAUCUUAGCAGAUAUGAAAGUUUGUGGGCUCUGGGGGAAGUACAAUCGCAAGGUCGAAACUUAAAGGAAUUGACGGAACGGCACCACCAGGGGUGGAGCGUGCGGCUUAAUUCGACUCAACGCGGGGAACCUUACUAGAGUAUGACAUUGAUAUGAUUGACAGAUUGCUUGAUCUUUCUUGAUUUGGUGGGUGGUGGUGCAUGGCCGAUCUUAGUUGGUGGGGUGACCUGUCUGGUUAAUUUCGAUAACGAACGAGAUCCGAACUAUAUAGUUGUUGAUGUGCUUUUACUUAAGCUAUCAACUCCUAUUUGGACUUCCAGUAAGAGUCUGAAGGAAGUUUCGGGCGAAAUCAGGUCUGUGAUGCCCAAGG